rnacentral:rRNA from 1 species
AAGGAAAGGCGAAAAGAACCCCGGUGAGGAGAGUGAAAUAGAACGUCAAACCACCCACAAAGAAGCAGUGGGAUUAAGUGAUGGGGUGACUGCGUACCUUUUGUAUAAUGGGUCAGCGACUUAUAUUUUGUAGCGAGGUUAACCGAAUAGGGGAGCCGAAGGGAAACCGAGUCUUAACUGGGCGAAUAGUUGCAAGGUAUAGACCCGAAACCCGGUGAUCUAGCCAUGGGCAGGUUGAAGGUUGGGUAACACUAACUGGAGGACCGAACCGACUAAUGUUGAAAAAUUAGCGGAUGACUUGUGGCUGGGGGUGAAAGGCCAAUCAAACCGGGAGAUAGCUGGUUCUCCCCGAAAUCUAUUUAGGUAGAGCCUUGAGGUGACACCUUUGGGGGUAGAGCACUGUUUCGGCUAGGGGUCCAUCCCGGAUUACCAACCCGAUGCAAACUACGAAUACCAAAGAGUGAUACUCAGGAGACACACGGCGGGUGCUAACGUCCGUCGUGGAGAGGGAAACAACCCAGACCGCCAGCUAAGGUCCCCAAGUCUAUAUUAAGUGGGAAACGAAGUGGGAAGGCUUAGACAGCUAGGAUGUUGGCUUAGAAGCAGCCAUCAUUUAAAGAAAGCGUAAUAGCUCACUAGUCGAGUCGGCCUGCGCGGAAGAUGUAACGGGGCUGAAAUAUAGCACCGAAGCUGCGGCAUCAGGCGUAUCACUAAUACGCCUUACGAUUAACAAGCUAGAAUGGCGCGAAGCGUCAUGAAAGGUUGUUCAAGCAACCCGAACGUUGAGUCGGGCAUCUUAGAGUAAGGAUGAUUAGUGAUACGCCUGUUGGGUAGGGGAGCGUUGUGUAAGCGGAAGAAGGUUGAUCGAGAGGUGGGCUGGACGUAUCACAAGUGCGAAUGCUGACAUAAGUAACGAUAAAACGGGUGAAAAACCCGUUCGCCGGAAGACCAAGGGUUCCUGUCCAACGUUAAUCGGGGCAGGGUGAGUCGGCUCCUAAGGCGAGGCUGAAAAGCGUAGUCGAUGGGAAACAGGUUAAUAUUCCUGUACUUGGUAAAGCUGCGAUGUGGGGACGGAGUAGGUUAGGUUAUCGCACUGUUGGAUAUGUGCGUUUAAGUUGGUAGGUGGGAAGUUUAGGCAAAUCCGGACUUCCUUAACACAGAGAGAUGAUGACGAGGCUCUACGGAGCUGAAGUAACUGAUACCACACUUCCAGGAAAAGCCACUAAGCGAAAGGCUUUACUAAACCGUACUGAAAACCGACACAGGUGGUCAGGUAGAGAAUACUCAGGCGCUUGAGAGAACUCGGGUGAAGGAACUAGGCAAAAUAGCACCGUAACUUCGGGAGAAGGUGCGCCGGCGUAGAUUGUAAGGGCUAGCCCCUGAAGGUUGAACCGGUCGAAGUGACCCGCUGGCUGCAACUGUUUAUUAAAAACACAGCACUCUGCAAACACGAAAGUGGACGUAUAGGGUGUGAUGCCUGCCCGGUGCUGGAAGGUUAAUUGAUGGUGUAAUCGAAAGAGAAGCACCUGAUCGAAGCCCCAGUAAACGGCGGCCGUAACUAUAACGGUCCUAAGGUAGCGAAAUUCCUUGUCGGGUAAGUUCCGACCUGCACGAAUGGCAUAAUGAUGGCCAGGCUGUCUCCACCCGAGACUCAGUGAAAUUGAAAUCGCCGUGAAGAUGCGGUGUACCCGCGGCUAGACGGAAAGACCCCGUGAACCUUUACUAUAGCUUGACACUGAACAUUGAAUUUUGAUGUGUAGGAUAGGUGCGGAACGCGGUCUCGGACAGUGUCUGGUGGGUAGUUUGACUGGGGCGGUCUCCUCCCAAAGCGUAACGGAGGAGCACGAAGGUUUGCUAAUCACGGUCGGACAUCGUGAGGUUAGUGCAAUGGUAUAAGCAAGCUUAACUGCGAGACAGACAAGUCGAGCAGGUACGAAAGUAGGUCAUAGUGAUCCGGUGGUUCUGAAUGGAAGGGCCAUCGCUCAACGGAUAAAAGGUACUCCGGGGAUAACAGGCUGAUACCGCCCAAGAGUUCAUAUCGACGGCGGUGUUUGGCACCUCGAUGUCGGCUCAUCACAUCCUGGGGCUGAAGUAGGUCCCAAGGGUAUGGCUGUUCGCCAUUUAAAGUGGUACGCGAGCUGGGUUUAGAACGUCGUGAGACAGUUCGGUCCCUAUCUGCCGUGGGCGUAGGAUGAUUGAUUGGGGCUGCUCCUAGUACGAGAGGACCGGAGUGGACGCAUCACUGGUGUUCCGGUUGUCUCGCCAGAGGCAUUGCUGGGUAGCUAAAUGCGGAAGAGAUAAGU